rnacentral:rRNA from 1 species
AGAGUUUGAUCCUGGCUCAGGACGAACGCUGGCGGCGUGCCUAACACAUGCAAGUCGAGCGGAGACAGUGAGUAGCUUGCUAUGAGCUGUUUUAGCGGCGGACGGGUGAGUAACGCGUGAGCAACCUUUCCCAGACAGGGGAAUAACACACCGAAAGGUGUACUAAUACCGCAUAAGACCACGGUUUCACAUGGAACUGAGGUAAAAGAUUUAUCGGUUUGGGGUGGGCUCGCGUCCGAUUAGGUAGUUGGUGAGGUAACGGCCCACCAAGCCGACGAUCGGUAGCCGACCUGAGAGGGUGAUCGGCCACAUUGGGACUGAGACACGGCCCAAACUCCUACGGGAGGCAGCAGUGGGGAAUAUUGCACAAUGGGGGAAACCCUGAUGCAGCGACGCCGCGUGAGCGAAGAAGUAUUUCGGUAUGUAAAGCUCUAUCAGCAGGGAAGAAAAUGACGGUACCUGACUAAGAAGCCCCGGCUAACUACGUGCCAGCAGCCGCGGUAAUACGUAGGGGGCAAGCGUUGUCCGGAAUAAUUGGGCGUAAAGGGCGCGUAGGCGGCUCGGUAAGUCUGGAGUGAAAGUCCUGCUUUUAAGGUGGGAAUUGCUUUGGAUACUGUCGGGCUUGAGUGCAGGAGAGGUUAGUGGAAUUCCCAGUGUAGCGGUGAAAUGCGUAGAGAUUGGGAGGAACACCAGUGGCGAAGGCGACUAACUGGACUGUAACUGACGCUGAGGCGCGAAAGUGUGGGGAGCAAACAGGAUUAGAUACCCUGGUAGUCCACACUGUAAACG